rnacentral:lncRNA from 1 species
CCGCGCUGUUGUGGCGCGACUCUUCGAGACGACCGCUGUAUCCCGUGGGAUGGCGCAAAAUAAUAAUACGUCAACCGUUAACUGUUGCUCCCCUCCGUCCCCCCCGGUACAUCGACACACAUCGGCACGUAGCCGGGCGUAAGAUGGUUUUCGUUUGUUUAUCGCGAAUUCUGUGGACACAAACGCCGUGCGUGAUGUUUCACGGUCGAGGACACGAGAGGCUCGGCACAGCGCAUGGAGGUUUUUGACGAAACCGCACGAAUUUGAAUUCGCGAGAGACUCGCUUGAGGUCUUGCAGGUAGAAGUUUCGAUUGAUCUCUACCGGUUCGCGAUGUGAAAUUUCUCUCGCUAAUCCGGUAAAAAAAGGCGGAAAAUCUGCUGGAAUUCGGACUCUCACUGAGAUUUUGGCUGUAUCGAGGCAAAAUGAUUGAAUGGUUGCAUGAUGAAAUUAUUCAUGUACUUCAUUACCAUGAAGUAUCGUCAGAGACAAGUCGCCAUAUUUACGAAUUUCGAGGAACGCGGCAAACUUCAGUUCCAAUGAUUCGCGGCACUUUUUCCCGCGCGUUGUGAAACAUGAAAACUAUUAAGCAUUGGAUACAAGGAAAAAGAAAAGCCUGGAAAGAAUACAUCAUGAACCCGUUCAUCGCACUAAUGUGUGAAGUGGCUGUUAUUGAGGGAUGAUGUAUCAUGUGACUGCGAUCACCGGGAAGGUUCUUCGGACUUAGGGUGCGCACACAGGGACCGUGGCACUGGAUACUAGGAUACAGAGAUCAAGUGACUCCCGAGAACCGCCUUCGACUUGACGUGUUCCUUACCCGCAGGAGAGUCAAUCAUUUUUUUAAAAAGAAGAAUUUUUUACAGCGAUGCGCAAGCACAAAUGCCGAAGCGGUAUCACGGUCACGACCCACGUGACCGUUUUAAAGGAUCGCCAGCAGCCAUCAUCAAUCA